rnacentral:sRNA from 1 species
ACAAUUGUGGCUAUUAAUAAAGACCCAGAAGCUCCAAUUUUCCAAGUGGCAGAUUAUGGAAUAGUUGCAGAUUUAUUUAAGGUAGUUCCUGAAAUGACUGAGAUAUUGAAGAAAAAAUGAAUCAGGAUCAUGCCUUAAAAAGAAAACUUAUGUUAAAGUAUUCCACUGAAAUCACAGAUAUUUGUGGGUAUUAUAACAAUCAUUGGAAAGCAUGGAGAGCUACAUUUCAUAAUUUGAGGGAAAUUUUCUAACAGAUGCCAGAAUGCUUGUUUAUGGGAUUACUAUGUUUCCUUUUAAUUAUUUGUGCUUCCAAACAAUUAUUGUUUGAAAUUUUUAAAUUCUGUACUAAAAUCUAUAAUAAAGCUUUUCCACAGCUUUAAAACUAUCAGAAAUAUGCCUAGCCUCUAGAGAAAAUUGAAGAAAAGGAGUAAAAAUUUUGUUUAUUUAUUUAUUUUUUUGCCUUUCUUGUUCAUGGAGAGCUCUGUGUUUUAGGAAGAUUGUAAACAUGAUUGUCUCCACCAGCCUAAUCAACCUAACUAAUCUCAUUGUU